UUUUGCACUUACGUCCCAUCGACUUUCAUGUUAUUUCCAUAGCUGCUCAAAGUGCAGUCAGCUUAAAGACGAUUAACCUAUGGAGGCGACCUCUCAAGGGACAUGGUAGCAGUUUAAGGCAGUUAACACCGCGUUUCUCUGAGCUUCGGACAGAUCUCUCUAUCUGCAAACUGGAGUUUGAGGGUCGUUGCAGAGCAAACUUUCCAAGUAGGCUGGACUGGAUCCAGGAGAAAAUUUGUACCGAGGCUGGUGCCUCUGUUCUCACUGACGGCUCCAUGAUGGAAUCGGGAGUCAAAGCAGGCAGUCUUUGUGAUUCAUGCAGGCAUGCAGAAUCCUCAGGAAAUGCUGAAGCGAGGUGAUAUUAACAUUUUUUCUGAUAGCCAAACUGCAAUCAAUGCUCUGACGAUGCAGAAGAAAACCAAAUCUGUAAGGAGGAACUCAAAUCUCUUGGAUGUGCUGGUAAGAUUUAUCUGAUCUGGGUUCCAGAACAUAGGCACGUAGAGGGAAAUGAAUUUGCUGAUGAGCUUGCCAGAAAGGGGUCGACUGUAUAGCUCUCAAACGUCUCCUACCUGAUCAAGUGUCGUGAUUGCCAGCUCGAUUUUGGCAGAAAAAAGAAACCUUUGAAAUUCUCAAAUAAGAAAUGAAAAGCAGCACUUGACGGAUUUUCAGUUAUAUUUGAAAAUGACACGGCAAGGCACAAAGGAAUGUCAGCGAAGGAAAUGGAAGAGGUUAAUCGAAGAUUCUGCAGUAUUGUGUUAAAAUUAUGGAGAAGAAGCAGAACUAAGUGGUAGUAAUGAUGAUGAUUUCGAUAAAAAUUUUGUGUCAAAUGAUAAUGCAAAUCAAGUUACAAGUUUUUUAUCGUUUUCAUUACAUUAUUUCGAUUUGCGCUCUGUGAAAAAAUUAAAAGAAACGUCAAAAUAUUCUUGUAUGAAAAUUUUUGACGUGAUAAUUUAUUUAUUCGAUUUAGCCGGCUGCACGCAGGAAAAAAUGUGUCGUUACCUUGUUCAUUUGUCGUUACCUUGCUCAUUUAUCGUUACCUUGCUCAUUUGUCGUUACCUUGCUCAUUUGUCGUUACCUUGCUCAUUGCCGUUACCUUGAAUGAACUGCAAGCGAAAGCACGGAACGAACGACAAAGCAAACGAACGGCAACGUUCGACAUCUUGCUCUCUCCUACUUAAGUGAGCGUAUAUAUGUAUGUAUAUGUGCAUAUGUACAUAUAUUAAUUCACGUAUUUGUAUUUGCAUAUGCCUUCUUAUUGAUUAUAAUUAAUUUGAUUUACU